AGUGAACGCUGGCGGUAGGCCUAACACAUGCAAGUCGAACGGCAGCACAGUAAGAGCUUGCUCUUACGGGUGGCGAGUGGCGGACGGGUGAGGAAUACAUCGGAAUCUACUUUUUCGUGGGGGAUAACGUAGGGAAACUUACGCUAAUACCGCAUACGACCUACGGGUGAAAGCAGGGGAUCUUCGGACCUUGCGCGAUUGAAUGAGCCGAUGUCGGAUUAGCUAGUUGGCGGGGUAAAGGCCCACCAAGGCGACGAUCCGUAGCUGGUCUGAGAGGAUGAUCAGCCACACUGGAACUGAGACACGGUCCAGACUCCUACGGGAGGCAGCAGUGGGGAAUAUUGGACAAUGGGCGCAAGCCUGAUCCAGCCAUACCGCGUGGGUGAAGAAGGCCUUCGGGUUGUAAAGCCCUUUUGUUGGGAAAAAAAAGCAGCAGGUUAAUACCCCGCUGUUCCGACGGUACCCAAAGAAUAAGCACCGGCUAACUUCGUG
rnacentral:rRNA from 1 species